rnacentral:rRNA from 1 species
GUGGGGAAUAUUGGACAAUGGGCGAAAGCCUGAUCCAGCAAUGCCGCGUGAGUGAUGAAGGCCCUAGGGUUGUAAAGCUCUUUUACCCGGGAUGAUAAUGACAGUACCGGGAGAAUAAGCUCCGGCUAACUUCGUGCCAGCAGCCGCGGUAAUACGAGGGGAGCUAGCGUUGUUCGGAAUUACUGGGCGUAAAGCGCGCGUAGGCGGAUUUUUAAGUCAGAGGUAAAAGCCCGGGGCUCAACACCGGAAUUGCCUUUGAAACUGGAAAACUAGAAUCUUGGAGAGGUCAGUGGAAUUCCGAGUGUAGAGGUGAAAUUCGUAGAUAUUCGGAAGAACACCAGUGGCGAAGGCGACUGACUGGACAAGUAUUGACGCUGAGGUGCGAAAGCGUGGGGAGCAAACAGGAUUAGAUACCCGGGUAGUCC